rnacentral:rRNA from 1 species
AGUGAACGCUGGCGGUAGGCCUAACACAUGCAAGUCGAACGGAAGCACAGUAAGAGCUUGCUCUUACGGGUGGUGAGUGGCGGACGGGUGAGGAAUACAUCGGAAUCUACUUUUUCGUGGGGGAUAACGUAGGGAAACUUACGCUAAUAUAGCAUACGACCUACGGGUGAAAGCAGGGGAUAUUCGGACCUUGCGCGAUUGAAUGAGCCGAUGUCGGAUUAGCUAGUUGGCGGGGUAAAGGCCCACCAAGGCGACGAUCCGUAGCUGGUCUGAGAGGAUGAUCAGCCACACUGGGACUGAGACACGGUCCAGACUCCUACGGGAGGCAGCAGUGGGGAAUAUUGGGCAAUGGGCGCAAGCCUGAUCCAGCCAUACCGCGUGGGUGAAGAAGGCCUUCGGGUUGUAAAGCCCUUUUGUUGGGAAAGAAAAGCAGCAGGUUAAUACCCCGCUGUUCUGACGGUACCCAAAGAAUAAGCACCGGCUAACUUCGUG